rnacentral:lncRNA from 1 species
AAUGAGAGCCAGCAUUCAUAAGAAACUUCGCAAAGCAGUGGAAUAGUGACCAUUCUUUAUUCUGCCUUUGUCCUGGUGAGCACAUCUGAUAUGGCAGAGGAAACUGAGGAUGCCUGGCCAGGUGCUAUCUCCAGUUCCUUGCACUCCUGUUAACAAGCACCUCAGCGAGAGCAGCAGCAGCGAUAGCAGCCGCAGAAGAGCCAGCGGGGUCGCCUAGUGUCAUGACCAGGGCGGGAGAUCACAACCGCCAGAGAGGAUGCUGUGAUCCUUGGCCGACUACCUGACCUCUGCAAAA